rnacentral:lncRNA from 1 species
GAUGACCUACAGCAAACUGAAGAGGUCUUACCAGUGAAAGUCAUUAGUCUGACCAGUGUUAGCACCAUACCAAGCUAGAAGUUCCAAGACUGUUACUUGACCCCUCCUGCCUUUCCCAACUGCUCUCCAACAGCCAGAACUUCUGUGGCCUUAAACUACACUAAGCCUGCAGACUCACAGUGCAACAUACCCUCUGGUGCUGAUUCGACGGACCAUUUGGAGAGAACAGGUUGUACACCUGAAAUCUUAUUUCUUAGGACAUAUUAAAGUAAUUUUGAGUUAAAACUCCAUUCACUCACAGCAACAAGAGAGAUAAAACUGUUAGUAUUUAUCCAAAGAAGAAUGCUACUUUCUACUGUUGAUCUUGACAAAACAACCUCAGUGUCAUAAACCACUGAAAAACUACAUAGAAUCAAACUUGCUGGCAGAAGAACCAUGCCAUCAGUCUGUCUUCAAAUAGAGAUCAGGAGAUGUUACAUUACUGACUGAAGUAAAAAUCUUUCUCCUGAUGUAGAACCUAAUUUUUCAAUACAUCUCCAGGCAAGAUAAUAUGACUAAAUUCAUUUGAAUUAUUUUAUUUCUACAUUUUGCUUCAUAGUAAAAGGAGUACAGGUAAGUAAGUAGCGUAGGUGUUCCAACAUAGCAGUAAUGAGUAAAAGCACCUUCCUAAACCUCCUGUUAUUGUCAGAGAAGCAACUAUCUCUCCGGCAGGACAGAUCAAAUCAAUCAUGUUGAAUGUACAUGUGAAUCACUACAUGGUUUUAUUCAUCUCUGUUAACAGGCAUGUUGCUCAGCCUCUGCAGCUGUCCAAUGGGCUCUUGUUACACACAUAAGACUUUCUUGCCUCUCUGUUCUUCAUAUUCAAAGACUGUGGGUUUGAGAAUCUAAAGCAUUUGAACCUGAAUAAUUUGUUUCAUGUUCCAGGCUGACAGCCUAGAUUUGAGGUAUGUGCAAAGGAAGACAAUAAUGACAGGUCUAGAAACAUCUAAUGCACAUAAACACAGCAGACACAUGCAUUUAAUAAAAAAAAAACUAUUCUUGCCAGGAGCAAUGUGAUGUUGCAGCCACUCACUGUUUUUGGAAACACCGAACAAGGGGGCAGAAUCAAUCCACGUAUCUCCUCUGCCCCUUAUCCUUUAUGAAAUAUGCACCCAAAUAGCGACUAGAUGGUGGUCACCAGGCAAAACCAUGCAUUAAUAAAAAUGGCAGAGCCAGUUUCAGAAGUAACAGAUUCCUUGGUAACAUUGUAAAAUGCUACAUCAGUUGAGUUUUUUCAUGUGAGAAAAUAAAAUUCCUAGCAUAUGUUAAGUCUAGAUACUAGAACUUUCUGUUGCUUUCAAAUACAAACCUCAAGGAUAUUUCAUCCAUUCAUUCAUAUAACAUAUUACAUAUAUUAUCUCGUUAAUAUUUGAUGAUGUAAAAUUCACUGGAG